GGGUGGCCUAAGUGGUUAGAGCAUCCACCUCGGAUGUGGGAGGUCUAUGGUUUGAACCCUGGCAGAGUCC